GGGGCCAUGGCGGAGACUAAACAUGCAGUCGAGCGGUAACAGAUCCAGCUUGCUGCCUGCUGACGAGCGGCGGACGGGUGAGUAAUGCAUAGGAAUCUGCCCGAUAGUGGGGGAUAACCUGGGGAAACCCAGGCUAAUACCGCAUACGUCCUACGGGAGAAAGGGGGCUUCGGCUCCCGCUAUUGGAUGAGCCUAUGUCGGAUUAGCUAGUUGGUGAGGUAAUGGCUUACCAAGGCCACGAUCCGUAGCUGGUCUGAGAGGAUGAUCAGCCACAUCGGGACUGAGACACGGCCCGAACUCCUACGGGAGGCAGCAGUGGGGAAUAUUGGACAAUGGGGGGAACCCUGAUCCAGCCAUGCCGCGUGUGUGAAGAAGGCCCUCGGGUUGUAAAGCACUUUCAGCGAGGAAGAACGCCUAUCGGUUAAUACCCGGUAGGAAAGACAUCACUCGCAGAAGAAGCACCGGCUAACUCCGUGCCAGCAGCCGCGGUAAUACGGAGGGUGCAAGCGUUAAUCGGAAUUACUGGGCGUAAAGCGCGCGUAGGUGGCUUGAUAAGCCGGUUGUGAAAGCCCCGGGCUCAACCUGGGAACGGCAUCCGGAACUGUCAAGCUAGAGUGCAGGAGAGGAAGGUAGAAUUCCCGGUGUAGCGGUGAAAUGCGUAGAGAUCGGGAGGAAUACCAGUGGCGAAGGCGGCCUUCUGGACUGACACUGACACUGAGGUGCGAAAGCGUGGGUAGCAAACAGGAUUAGAUACCUGGUAGUCA
rnacentral:rRNA from 1 species